rnacentral:lncRNA from 1 species
AUGAAUUUGUCCCUCUUCCAAGUGGUACCAAUCAGAAAUCAGCAGCUGGUGAGGAUCUUCCUGCUCUCACUGGGAGCUGACCAGGUGAACUUUCUCCUCUGUGCUUCCCAAGCAGCCACGCUGCCCCUCCUGCUCCAGUCCCCUCCACCAGCCACCUCUGCCGUGCAGUCUCACACAGCGGGACGUUGUGGUGGCAGCAGCAGUUCUGCUCAGCUGGGCUUCCAGGAUCCAGCAGUUCUGCUCAGCUGGGCUUCCAGCAUCGUGCCUGCCGUUCUCGUGGUGGGGACCUGGACUCAGCGGCAGUACUCCCGCUCGAUGCUGGCCAUGAGCUCCUCCUCUGAGUAAUCAUACAAUAUUGUGGACUGCCCCAAUGACUUCUUGUUGCUUUCUGGGCACCUAUCAUGGAAGGGAAUGAAUUAUUGGAAUUAUUGGUGUUAUGAGAGAGAAUCAGGCUCUGAAGAUACAAGAAGAUCCUUGCCUUUUUUUUUUUUUUUUUUUUUUUUUUUUUGAAUGGAAAGAUUGAGCUGCAUGUGGCUUGUUGAGACACAGACACUCUGUCAUGUCUAGUUCUCAUACCCCACUGGAACAUUGCCUGCUGACAUUUGCUAUCACUUGGCACCAACUUAGUCUGUGAGUUCACCACAGUGCAACCCUUACAGUACUCCAGGAUCAAGCUCCCAGAACCUUUCGAGUUAGGCUCCAGGCCCAGCUAAUGGACAGUGUAAUCUUUAUGCUACUUUUAAGAUUUUAGGGUAAAAGAUAUUAUUUUGUUCAUAUUUGUAAGGAAUCUGAGUUUCAACCAAAAUAUGAAUACAGCUCCCUGAAACUGCUCUUACAGCCUUUGUUUUCACAUCAGCACAGCCCUCCCAUGAGUGGGAACUGAUGUAUGACUCAAGGGGAACUGGUUUAUUGGUGUUAUCAGAGGUGGUUUAUGUUGGGUUCAAGAGAAAUCUGUCCCUACCUGCAUAAGGGAGAACAGUGACAAGUCUUCUGCAGGCUUUGGCCACUGUACCUCAUGCUACCGAUAAAGCCUACUUGAUCUUACCCUUCAGGACUCAAGAGAGGAGCCAGCAGCUGACAAGUGCCUCCUUGGCCUUGUAGAGAUCUGGGAGGUGAGCAAGCUGGGCUGUCAGGCUUGGAACACAUGGCUCCUUGGAAUGGAGGUCAUGGUGAGGUGCAGAGCUAAGUGGAGAAUUGAGCUGGUAAAUCCAAAGUGCUCUGCCAUGCCAUGUUAACCAAGACUCUCAAAUCAAAGUGCUCUGCCAUGCCAUGUUAACCAAGACUUUGAGACCAUCCACUAGUGAAGAACAAGUAAGCAAAAAAUAAAUGCUUUGGUUUUGUGUGUCAGUUAGUUCGUUGCCAAAGAGGAGAGAUUUUCAAGAGUUCAUUGCCAAAGAGGUGAUAUCCACUAGCAUGGCUCCAGAUCUGUCCCAGACUCAUUAUCUAUUGAAUUCCUCCAAGGAUGAGGUCUAUCCCAACCAUUGCUCUUGCAGCUGGGAUGAAUAAAAUUAAUCCAUUAGCAUCCUUUAAUAAAAAAAAACUGAGGACCUGUUUACUAGACAAAAUCACAGAAACUGCCCCAAAGCAGGUAUGUAAAUGUAGAAUCAGAACUGAAGAAAACAACCCUGAAAUGCUUUUCUAAGGACACUUUGUCCUACAGGGGAGUUGCUUUCACACUGCUCUCCUUGGGCCAGGCAGCAUCCUCAGGCUCCUGCCCAGCCCAGGUGCUCUGACUAAGCUGUGUUUGCCGUACCCAUGUGUGUCAGAAAUAGCCUGGUGUUUUUCCUGGAGUCACCUGAUGGCCAGCUGAUGACACUGGCUAGUGUAGGUAUUCUACAGUUACUUACACUGCACUUUGCCCUUGAUGGCAAGUUCUACUAGCAGCAAGCAGGAUUUAGCAACCAGACUCUUCUGCUUAUUCCUUUUAUUCAUUUUCCUGCUGAGGGCUGCAAGGUAUCUGAUUUCCACUGCACUAGGUGAGACCUGAGAAGAAAGCUACAGGUCCAAGAGAUCAAAUCAUACAGCAGCAUUUACAAAGCAAUAAUGGGAAAAGGAAGUGCAGAAAUCUUAGUUAAAAUACACAAUUUACUGAUUUAAAAUCUACACUGUGACAAUCCUUUAACUAAUUUUAUGUUACGUGAUGAAUAAGAGGCAGAGCUCCUGGCAGCUUGCUUGCAGGCCCACAGAAGAGCCAUUGUUUCUCUUAGCAGUUACAUAAUUUCCCACUGUUAAUUAUUCUCAAUUCUUUGGUUUGCAUGGAGAAAAUCUGCAGGUAAAACUCGUUGAGACACAGAUGUGCUCUGGAAAAAACAAAAGCAGACUCCACUUCCUAUGCACACCCCAGAAAUGAGAGGAAAAGAGAGGGUUGCAUUUCUUUAAAGAGCAAAGGAAUAGCAAGUUGCAGUUCAUUCUAUUUCUAUAUUUGUGGCAAAAUUCUGUAUCAUUUAAUACAGGAAAACUGAAAUAAAAUAAAAAAUUAGAGCUUUAAUCUGGAUAAAAGGAGAAACUUCUGCACUCUGAGCACAGCAAGCAGAGGAACAGGCUGUGUGGUGGCACAGGCUCUAUCCUUGGAGGCUUUUAACACCUGAUGGGCCAAAGCCUGGAGCGUUCUGGUCUGACUUCACAGCUGAUCCAGCUUGGAGCUAGAACUAGGAGAUUGGACUAGAGACCUCCUGAGGCCAUCCCAACCUAAACCUCCAUCUCAAAGGCACGUUGUGGCAGCUAUUUCUGCCGAUCCUAGAAUUCAGUAAACAGCUGUGGCAGGGAAAUCCCAAGCUCAGGAUGUGCAUAGGACAACAGCUGGUGGACCACAGGCCUCUCCUGUGCUCCUCCAGCUUCUCCAGCAGCAGAGGAGGCACCUUGCUCCACCUGUCACUAAGUGCCAGGGCCGCAGAGCCUGGCUGCAAACACACUGAGUCCACCUGAGGGCUGUUAGACCUUCCAGCCAGCAAAAUAACAGGUCAGUACCUUGAGUGGAAAGAUUUUCAAACCCCAGAUGUUCUGGGGAAGGAGACAAACAUGUCAAGGUGCAAAGCUGAGAGAGAGAGUUAGCUGAAAAACAUAUAAAAGGGGAAUUUCCUGUGUGAUAGGACAGCAAGGAAAAAGAAGGCUAGUGCAGCUUUAUCAGGAUUACUGGGCAGGCUUCUGGGUGCCUCACUGCUAAAAUGUUCUUAACAGCUUGGAGGGAGUUUAGAAAGCAGCAAUAAAAGUGAUUUAAGAGGCUGGAGCAAAGCAAUUUAGGAAACAGGAAAGCAAGAAAUGUGUUCUAUUUCAACUACAGGCUUCUUGAUGUUCCCUUCUUAAGGGAAGCAGGAAUCAUGGGUGGGUUUUUUUGUGAAGACAAUGAACUAUGCAAAAUGGAGAAGGAAAUGCAAAGGACAAAAUCAGACCAACAGUGAGCAAAACCACCUAUGAGCAAGAUCCCAGCCAUGGGGAUGGCUGUCAGUGCCAUAUCCCUGGUGUCAGGCAGGUGCCUGGUGUGGGGGAGAGCUGCCUGCAGGCUCCCAUGACAAUGGCCCUGAUGGGUGACCAGGGUGACAAGGUCCCAGGCAGAAACCUGAGUUAAAACUGGCUGAAAACUCGGUUGGGGUGAAUCUAGGCCAGUGUUUUUUAUCAUUUUGCUGAGGAUGGGCAAGUCCAGGGUUAAUUAUUAAAAUGCCUUCUGCAAGACCUAGCAGCUGAAAAAUGGGUCAGAACAACGCCCUGGUAACUCUGCCAGUGACACCAGCCUUGGCAGCAAUUAUAAAUCAUUACUGUGUGCCUGGGCUGUGUCAUCCACCCAUGAACUACCAGAUGCUGGAGAGCAGUUCCCAAAAGAUUUUGGGGAGGGAGGAUAAGAAGUAACACAGCCCAGCCAGGAGCACAUCCGAAGUAUUUACCAAGGGCUGGUUCAGAUGCUCGUGUGGUGUCACACGGGCAUGUUCUAGGACAGGAGUGCAUGCCCACCUCUAUCUUGCAUGACUGCUCUCUUGACAGACACUGUUAAGUCUCCGUAUCUAGUUCUUCUUGUCCUUCCUUGACAUUUGCUUCUCUUUUAAUUGGCUUUAUGGGAAUUUCUUCAGUCAGCAACUCUAUCAAAACAAGUCUGACUUUUGUUUGUAAAGUGUUUACCUAGAAUGAUUCCAGCCACAGAAAUGUGAAGGAUGAGACACCUACACAUGCACAUUAACCUCUGUUUCCAUGGCUUGAUUUGAUUCUAUUUGAUUUGAUGUCUUCAAAAAUUUGCUGGGUGCUGGGCCAUUUACAAAAAACUGUUUGCAUAGUUCUUGCCAGCAGAAAUUACAAUUCUGCUUAUCUCAGGCAGUACAGACACUUCACAUGUGAGCUGUGCUAUGGGACUCUUAAGUGGGUAUAAAGUAAAUGUUAUCUAAAUGAAAAUAAUCUCCUGCUCUGUCAUCCCAGAUCAGAAAACAUUUUCUGCUGUCUCAAGCCUUCCCCUUGCAUGUCAAAGAGGGCGGGAGAAGGAAAGCCUUGGCAGACUGAGGGCCCAGUGGGUGCCUGGGCCCAGGGAGCUGCUUAGGGGCCUGGCAGGGCUGGCUGUGCACCCCAGGAGGAGACUGCUCAGUUGCCAUAAUAGCCCAGGGCCCACUGAGGAUGCUGGAAAGCACAGGAGAGGCUCAAGUCCCUGUGAGAGCACCUGUACAAGCCUUGCCACCAGAAAAGCCAAGGGCAAAUGUGUUUUCCAAGC